ACCAUGUUCAACGAGAAUAUAUAUCAGUGAUGGACGCAUCGUCAACAGAUGUUGGAUCAGACUUGGUUGCAAUAGACUGAUCUGAAUCAAGUGGGUCUCUUUCAGGUCUGCUCUGGACGAAAAACCCUGGUUGCCGAGGCACUGGUAAAGUAACAGUGUCACUAGUGAGCAUUACAAAAAUGGUUGAAAAGGUUGGACGAUCUACAGGAUCUUCUUGAACACAUAAAAGGCCGAUAUGGAUGCAUCGAACAACUUCACUGUUAUGGCAGUUAUCAAUAAUAAUUGGAUCCACGAGGUUUAAAGCUGUUCCAUUACCCCAAAGCUUCCAAGCCUAGAAUAUCAAUCAACCAGUCAAUUCUUGAAAAAACUGUUUACUAUUGUAAAAGUGCUAAAUAUAAAGCUUGAUUGCCUUUAAACUUACAUAUGUUACCAAGUCAUGUGCACCGUCUAUCUCGUAGAAGCUGUUGUUCUUCAUACCGCUAAUAAUCUCAAGAACUAACACUCCAAAGCUAUAGACAUCAGAUUUCAUUGAGAACUGGCCAUGAAGCGCAUAUUCAGGAGACAUGUAACCGCUGGAACUCACAACAAAACUUUGGUAAAUUUGCAAAAUCAUGUUUAACAAAGUUCAUCUUACAAGAAGUUGUGUGGAAGACUUACUAGGUGCCAACUAUCUUGCUUGUGUUAUCCUGGGUUUGGUCCAUUCCAAAGAUCCUAGCCAUUCCAAAAUCAGCAACUUUCGGAUUCAUAUCCCGAUCUAGGAGAAUGUUACUUGCUUUGAGGUCACGGUGUAUAAUUGUGAGCCUUGAAUCUUGAUGGAGAUACAGAAUUCCCCGGGCAAUCCCUUCAAUGAUCUUAUAUCGUAGUGUCCAGUUCAGCUGACCAUGCUUUGCAGGGUCUGUGUGUGCACAUCGAUGGUAUUAUAGUAAACUCUAAUAAUUUGUAAUCCCAAGUUUCAAGAAUAUGGCAAAAGAAUAACUGAAACAAAACAACAAAUGUAACUGACCGAAGAGGAAGUAAUCAAGGCUUUUGUUGGGCACAUACUCGUAGACCAGUAUCCUCUCUUUUUGUUCAAGAGAAAAUCCUAGAAGCCUAACCAAAUUUCUAUGCUGGAGCUUUGCAACAACAGCAACCUCGUUCUUGAACUCUGUGUCACCUUGUCUUGAUGAUUUCGACAGUCUCUUCACCGCAACUUCAACCCCAUUCGCGAAUGUUCCCUGUCCAUUUUCAUUAGCACCAUCUUGUUAUCCAAAUGUGUUGACAUAAAUUUUCAAGAAAAAGUACAGAACCUCAUGGAAAAUUAAGGAAUAGUACCUUGUAAACCUCACCAAAUCCACCUUCACCAAUUUUAUUAUUUUCAGAAUAGUUAUUUGUUGCAGCUUGAAUAAUUACAUAAUCAAGUUGCAGUGACUCAAUGGUUGUAAUAUCAUCCCCUGUUGCACAAUAAUUCCUAGCAAUCAGAUGAGACAAAAAAACUGAUCAAUUAAGGUUGUUAUUCACUGGAAUCCUUACCAUAAAAGGCUGGUGCAUUAUCUGAAGUCUUCUUUGUCCUCUUUGCAAGGAAACAAUAACCAGCUAUGAAAAUCAAAACAGCCACUACAAUACCCACGACGAUGGCUACUGUUAACACUUUUGAAUUCUCAUGAUGUUUACCUGCGUAUUAAAAAAAAAACAUUUUCUUGAGAACGGAUAGUGUUGAAUAUUUUGAGAAACCAUAGUAAUAAAUAGAUGAAGAUAAAAGAGUUCACCAGUUCGUGUAAGAGAUGAAACCGGAGAAGUAGAGGCGGGAGGAGGUGGUAGCGGUGAUGGCUGUGGUGGCGGCGGUGCAUGUUGUUCUGGAGGUGUUCUAGUGUCGUUUUCGUUGAAGAACAAGUAAAGCUCGUACCUUGCAUUACAACUAGGCCAGAAAAGUCUACCCCCAAUUUUGUUAAGAGGAAUUCCAUCGAUGGAUUGAUGCAAGCAACGCAAACAGUCAUAUCUUGUCAGAUCAGGAGUGCACUGAACCAGGCCGUAUAAACUCUGGAGUGCUGUCCAGUUGGCUUUUAUCGUAUAGAACUUCCUAGAACUGUUAGCUGCUUUGUCGGCAGCUUGGUUCAUUGUGUUGGACACCAAAUCUUCGAACCGGUCUUCUUGAUUGGAUGAAAUAUUGCCGUUGAACAUGAAAAACCCUCCUUCGUAUACAAGCGUCGAUAGAAUAUUUCGGUGAGAGUAUCUGAGCAUGCACUCUUCGUAGUAAAGCACGACCUCUUUCUCAUUCGGACACCGAGUUAAGGUUUCGUUGACGGAGUAGGCAACGCAGCUACGACAAACUUCAGGCGAGACAUCUCCCCGGCAGAGGAAAAGUCCUGUGACCCUAUCGGGAUCGCGUCCCACCGUGGCGUUCUGGAAUCCGGUGGAGUAGGAGGCGUCUGGGGAAGAGAAAGAGGACAAAAGGGUUUUGAGAUUGGUGGAAUAAGUGCUGUUCCUUGUAUAAGUUGUUGUAUUUGAACAAGAAUGAUAUGUGUAAUGAGGAUUUUGAGCAUAAGCUCUGUAGCUAGCGAGUAAGGAGAAAAGGACAAGGAAGAUGAAAGAGGUGCAAGAAGACAUGGUUCUGACUUCUGUCAGUUGUGUUUACAUCAUGAAGCACUCAUUUAUAUAACGAAUAUAUUAUUUCUCUCUUUGUGAUUUUUGUAGAUUGCCGUGAAACGGGGGAUGAUUUGUGGAGUAACGACUACGGUAAGUCAAUCAAAGUCGUUUUAGCAAAAAAAAAAGUCAAUCAAAGUCAAAGUAAACGCUUUUUCUUCUUCUUAAUGUCACUUUUAUUAUGCAACAAAAAUAUGGACGUAUAAAGUGGGUUUUGAAGAAGUCAGACAAGAACAAGACAAGAAAAACAUAGCCUUUUCAACUUUCUCGUCUUUCUUUCCCUCUUCUCCUAUACUCUUAUUUAUGAUGUAUACAUAGACAAGUGUCUAUAUGCCUUUUUUUUUUUUUGAAACAAGACAAGUGUAUAUAUAUAUGCCUAUUCUUAUUUUUAAUGUUGAAUAACACAUAAACAUUACCUGGAGAAAAAGAACACAUUACCUGAAACAUGUUUUAACAACUUCAACGAGGAUCCAGAUCUCUAAUUAUUACAUCAUUUAUAGUAUGAGAUUUGGGCCGUAACCUAUACUGCCGUGAAUCUUGGUUGCGGCUAGUUAGAAAGAAGAAUCCAAGAGAUAGAGAAACAGAUAAAAUGACAGAGUCGAUAGUGAGCAUCGACAUGAUUGCUGACAAUUUGGGACGACCAAUAGUGAUAAUUAUUGUGUGUGAGUAUUUAGUUAUUCUAUCUCUUGUCAAUUUAAUAACGUGAACUUCGGUGUACAUUAACAAUGAAAUUACUAUUGGGUCUUGGCUUAUGGAAAGACUAUAAUCUCAGCGAGGGUUAACACUUGUAAUCGAUGCAUCAUCGACAGAACAAGCAAAAGACAUGAUACUAGACUGACCAAUUGUUAUUCAUUUGUGUUUACAUCAGGACGCUCUCAUAUCAUUUAUAUAACGAAUAUAUUUUUCCUCUUUGUGACUUUUGUAGAUUGCCGUGAAACAUGGGAUGGAUUGUGGAGUGGCGACGACGGUGAGUCAAUCAUAAGUCAAAGUAAACGUUUGUUUCUUAAAUGAAAAUUUUAUUAUACAGUACAACAAAAAUAUGAACGUAUUAAGUGGAUAAAGCCAUGUAAGAAAACUCCAACAUUUUUAGACGAAUCUGACAAGAAAAACAUAGCCUUUUAAACGUUCUUGUUUUGCUUUCCCUCUUUUUCUUUACAUGUAUGUAUGAGCUACUAUGUGACCAAGUUCCUACUAUUACUGCCUGAUUUGUGGAAGCUGCUAUUCCACUUGCCACUAAUAAUCCCCUGACAGGGUCAAACAGAGAAUUUGGGGGUUGUAGGUUUACUUUAUAUUUUUCAGAUUUUAGAGUUUAUGUCUAUCUAAUUUUCUUCAAAAAAAUUGGAGACUAUAUAUGCCAAAGCUUCAUUCAGCUUUGUUCACGACUGGCUCUGUCCAUAACUAAGACCAAAAGCUAUAUAUACAUCAGAUUUUGUGGAGUACUGGCCAUGCAUUGCAUACUCGGGGACAUAUAACCGCUGAAACAUAGAAUGAACUUGAGCAUAUAGAUGAUAAUCAAAGAUUUCAAUUCAUAGGAUUUCAAAGAGGAAAAUAAUUUACUAUAUUCCAAGUAUUCUGCUUGUAUUUUCAAGGGUUUGAUCAACCCCAAAUCCCAAUAAUCCUGGCCAUGCCAAAAUCCGCAUUUUUUCGGGUUCAAAUCAGAAUCUAAUAGAAUGUUUUUGACUUUAAGGUUGCAGUGUAUGAUUGUAAGGCUUGAAUCUUGAUGAAGAUAUAGAAUUAGCAAUCCAUGAAAUGAUCUUGUAUCUCAUUGUCCAGUUACUCCAGUCCAACUGCCUAAUUGCUUUUUAGGGUGCCGCACAUCCAUGCAUACUCCUAAAAAAUUAUGUUUUCAAUAAUGUGGAUACAUCUUCUCACUUCUACACACUGAGAAUUCUCUGAAACCUGAUCGUGUCUUACCAGUUUAAACAGAAGUCGAAGUCAAAAGUCAGUGCUUAAACUCAAUUAUAUUUUUCUUUGUUUUACAAAAAACCUUACAGAAUUCAUAUUGAAAACUAAACGAAACAUGGAGCUUGCAUCAAAUAACACCACAACCAAAUUGGCUUACAAAUGGUGUUAAUUGAUUUCAAUUUCUAUAAUAAACAGAAAAGCCAAAUUAAAACUAAACUAUAUUCGACAGCUACAAAAGUUGUUAACUUGUUUUAAAAAUACCAGUAGGUUCAAACUUUAAGGUAAAAACACCAUGUUCAACGAGAAUAUAUAUCAGUGAUGGACGCAUCGUCAACAGAUGUUGGAUCAGACUUGGUUGCAAUAGACUGAUCUGAAUCAAGUGGGUCUCUUUCAGGUCUGCUCUGGACGAAAAACCCUGGUUGCCGAGGCACUGGUAAAGUAACAGUGUCACUAGUGAGCAUUACAAAAAUGGUUGAAAAGGUUGGACGAUCUACAGGAUCUUCUUGAACACAUAAAAGGCCGAUAUGGAUGCAUCGAACAACUUCACUGUUAUGGCAGUUAUCAAUAAUAAUUGGAUCCACGAGGUUUAAAGCUGUUCCAUUACCCCAAAGCUUCCAAGC
rnacentral:lncRNA from 1 species